GGGUGAGUAACGCGUAUCCAACCUGCCCACCACUUGGGGAUAACCUUGCGAAAGUAAGACUAAUACCCAAUGAUAUCUCUAGAAGACAUCUGAAAGAGAUUAAAGAUUUAUCGGUGAUGGAUGGGGAUGCGUCUGAUUAGCUUGUUGGCGGGGUAACGGCCCACCAAGGCAACGAUCAGUAGGGGUUCUGAGAGGAAGGUCCCCCACAUUGGAACUGAGACACGGUCCAAACUCCUACGGGAGGCAGCAGUGAGGAAUAUUGGUCAAUGGACGAGAGUCUGAACCAGCCAAGUAGCGUGCAGGAAGACGGCCCUAUGGGUUGUAAACUGCUUUUAUAAGGGAAUAAAGUUAGUCUCGUGAGACUUUUUGCAUGUACCUUAUGAAUAAGGACCGGCUAAUUCCGUGCCAGCAGCCGCGGUAAUACGGAAGGUCCGGGCGUUAUCCGGAUUUAUUGGGUUUAAAGGGAGCGUAGGCCGGAGAUUAAGCGUGUUGUGAAAUGUAGACGCUCAACGUCUGCACUGCAGCGCGAACUGGUUUCCUUGAGUACGCACAAAGUGGGCGGAAUUCGUGGUGUAGCGGUGAAAUGCUUAGAUAUCACGAAGAACUCCGAUCGCGAAGGCAGCUCACUGGAGCGCAACUGACGCUGAAGCUCGAAAGUGCGGGUAUCGAACAGGAUUAGAUACCCUGGUAGUCCGCACGGUAAACGAUGGAUGCCCGCUGUUGGUCUGAAUAGGUCAGCG
rnacentral:rRNA from 1 species